rnacentral:snRNA from 1 species
GGAUGUGAGGGCCAUCUGGCUGCAACAUCUGUCACCCUAUUGAUUGCCAGGGUUGAUCUGGCUGGCUAGGCAAGUAUCCCCUUCCUUCAUCACAACUCCAUGUGUGUUCCUCCCAAAGCUGCACAAUCAGUGGAAGAGGACCAUCCCAGAUAGAAAACCAUCCAUAGUAAACAAUGGAUUUGCUUAACCACCAUGAUGUUCACUUAACCACCACAAAGUGUCAUAAACUCACGCUUUAUGACCAUCAUGAUUUAUGAUUGUAACUGCUAGGGUCAAUUAUGGUCUUAAGC